rnacentral:rRNA from 1 species
UAGGUAACGGCUUACCAAGCCAUUGAUCGGUACGGGUUGUGAGAGCAAGAGCCCGGAGAUGGAACCUGAGACAAGGUUCCAGGCCCUACGGGGUGCAGCAGGCGCGAAACCUCCGCAAUGUGAGAAAUCGCGACGGGGGGAUCCCAAGUGCCAUUCUUAACGGGAUGGCUUUUCAUUAGUGUAAAGAGCUUUUGGAAUAAGGGCUGGGCAAGACCGGUGCCAGCCGCCGCGGUAACACCGGCAGCUCUAGUGGUAGCAGUUUUUAUUGGGCCUAAAGCGUCCGUAGCCGGUUUAAUAAGUCUCUGGUGAAAUCCUGUAGCUUAACUGUGGGAAUUGCUGGAGAUACUAUUAGACUUGAGACCGGGAGAGGUUAGAGGUACUCCCAGGGUAGAGGUGAAAUUCUGUAAUCCUGGGAGGACCGCCUGUUGCGAAGGCGUCUAACUGGAACGGUUCUGACGGUGAGGGACGAAAGUUAGGGGCGCGAACCGGAUUAGAUACCCGGGUAGUCCUAACCGUAAACGAUGCGGACUUGGUGUUGGGGUGGCUUUGAGCUGCUCCAGUGCCGAAGGGAAGCUGUUAAGUCCGCC